CUCCCGGGCGUUUUCUACUUAUGAAUUACCCAGAAGGCUCUGUUAGCCUGACUUUGUUCAGGUUGGCAUAACUGGCUUUGUCAGCAAUAUUUUUAUUC